UACGUAGGGCGCAAGCGUUAUCCGGAAUUAUUGGGCGUAAAGAGCUCGUAGGCGGUUUGUCGCGUCUGCCGUGAAAAUCCGAGGCUCAACCUCGGACUUGCGGUGGGUACGGGCAGACUAGAGUGUGGUAGGGGAGACUGGAAUUCCUGGUGUAGCGGUGAAAUGCGCAGAUAUCAGGAGGAACACCGAUGGCGAAGGCAGGUCUCUGGGCCACUACUGACGCUGAGAAGCGAAAGCAUGGGGAGCGAACAGG
rnacentral:rRNA from 1 species